AGCCAUAAACUUUGACCUAUCCGCCAGAGUACUACGAGCAACAGCUUAAAACUCAAAGGACUUGGCGGUGCCCUAUACCCACCUAGAGGAGCCUGUUCUUUAAUCGAUAACCCCCGAUAAACCUCACCAUUUAUUGCCAAUACAGCCUAUAUACCACCGUCCAGCCCACCCUUUAAAGGCUAAACAGUAGGCACAACUACAAACAUAAAAACGUCAGGUCAAGGUGUAGCAAAUAAAAUGGGAAGAAAUGGGCUACAUUUUCUAACCUAGAAAACACGGAAAAGUUUAUGAAAUUAAACUUUGAAGGAGGAUUUAGCAGUAAAAAGAAAAAAGAGUGUUCUUUUUAACCCGGCAAUGG
rnacentral:rRNA from 1 species